UUUAUGUAAAAAAUUUGGUACAAAAGUGAAACAUAAAAGGAAAAGAAAAAAAAGGAAUCGAAAUAUUGGUAAGUUAAAUUUUAAAUAUUUGAAAUUAUAUAUGUAUAUGCAUGUAUGUAUGUAUAUAGGUGAAAUUAACUAUGAAUGUUAAAAUCAUUCGAAGCGUCCAAACUUAUUUACAGUUAUUUUUGUCUCUUUUAUUCUUCUAUUCACACUUUUCAUGUUUUUUUAUUUUUUUUUUAUAAUUAAAAAGUACUAAAAAGAUUAAACAACACAAAGAUUUUUGCAACAAAUCAAAAUAAUAAAAAAUCAUUCGUCGGAAGACAAUAUAUUCAUAUAUACAUGCAUACAUAAACAUCCCUAAUACAUACUUAAGCAUAUUACUAUUUCUACAGGUUGUUUAAAGAUAAUGCUUUUUUUCAGUAAAAUGGCUUAGAUAUUAUAUUUUAAUCAAAUUUAAUUUAUGUAGUUAUCUUUAUUUAUUUUGGGUGAAUAUUGAAUACUUAGAUUUGUAAGUAUUUUAAAUUAAUUUUAUGUGUAUAAUAUACUCAUCGUCAAAUUUUAUAAUAUUUAAAAUUAUAUGAAUACAAAACGAUGCACUACUGUUUGCGAUGUGCUACUUGAAUUAAACCAGGUUAGUUCUGGGAGCGUGAAAGAGCUAUUUAUUGAACCAAAGGGAAAAUGAAUAAGAAUGAAAAAUUGCAAUCUAGAGUCUCAGAUGCAGAGUGCAAAAAAAGGAACAACAGACGAUGUAUCAGAUAAUGCUAUUUUUCCUAAAUUAGAGUAUCAAAUAGACUAUACUUAACAAAAUGAUAUGGAAAACGUUUCACCUCAAGAAGCAAAAAAUAUUUGCACUGAGCUUAAAUACAUACGGGAUUGGGAUGAAUUAAUACCAAAAUGGAAAAAAACUACAAAGUCCAAAAAUAAAAUAUGUUUCAGCAACAGGAAUCUGGAACAAAUUUUGGUGGAAUGACUAUUUAGAUACUUAAAAGCACCUGAGCUGAUUGAUAAUCUCUAUAUAUAAGGUUGAUAAGAUAGAAUUACUCACACUAUUCCGGCAUAAUAACUUUUAUUUUGAUUUAUGGAACAGUUUUUGUAAAGUUGCAGUGGAAAUUUUACAAUAAAG